rnacentral:tRNA from 1 species
GCCCGCCUAGCUCAAUCGGAUAGAGCGUCAGACUCUUAUGGCGGAGCAUCUGGAUCUGAAGGCUGCGAGUUCGACCCUCGCGGUGGGCU